rnacentral:lncRNA from 10 species
CACUAAGAAAUUUGCCCAAGCUUACCAGUCUCCUGAUCCAGCCCCUGACUUGGCUAUCCAGGCAGGAAGCCGCCUAUCCCACAGCAGACCUGGUCCUCCAGAGACAGCUCCCCAGAUGGGGAAUGCAGCUGCCAUGUCAUGAGCACACUCAAGCAGCCCUCUGGAGAGGCUCAUCUGGAGAAGAACUGGAGCUUCUCACUGUCAUCCAGCACCAGCCAUAAGAGUAAGCCAACUUAGACCCGGAUCCUCCAGCCCCAGCCAGGCUUUCUGGAUGUUUCAGCCAACAUCUUGACUUUACCCUCCUGAGACUUUCAUGAGAGGCAGAAAUAUCCACUGAAGCUGCUCCCGAAUUUGUGGCUCACAGAUACUGAGCUCAGAUACUGUGUGAGAUAAUAAAUGUUUAUUGUU